GGAGAGGUGGCGGAGUGGCUGAACGCAACUGCCUGCUAAGCAGUUGGUCUCGUAAGGGGCUCGAGAGUUCGAAUCUCUCCCUCUCCG
rnacentral:tRNA from 1 species